UAACAGGCCGCCUCAGUCUGCCAGAUGACGCAGCUGGUGGAAGCCGCCCGUAUGUGUUGAGUUUGUUUAUUUUGUGACGCGUGUUCUUGCUAAGUGUUCUCGUUGAACUUGCUAGUAAUUCUUAACUCAGUAGAAAGUCACCUGAACAUCCUCCAUCCCACAGUCAUUUCUUAACUAAAUCUAACUUUGAUUAAUAACCUCUUUACCUAUCCAGGGAGUGCCACGUGUAGGUCUGACAGCUUCCUGCAGCUUCAUUUAUUUUCUUAUCUUAUUGUGCGGUUAAGAGAUUACCAGCUCAUUACUCUGUGGGGGUUAUUAAGAUGCGGAGGUUAUUGAGUGGUGUUAAGUAUAGUUACUAAAUGCCCUUCAUUGCUGAGGUGGAGGAUCUUAGGGAAUUUCUACGUGAAGGUGACUACGUGUGCGUGAGGUGACGAGACGAGGGUGUAGUGCUCAUGUGAUUGGCGGAGAACUGUGAGAUUCAUCGGUUCUCCCUAUGGCCCAAGUUUUCCUUCGUCCCCAUGCCAGGAAGAGUAGCGAGGAGGAGUGGGAAACGUGAACUCCGCAGGAUGAAAGGUAACCAGCCAGGCCAGCUGUCCUGUCGACGCAACCCCCGCCAGCUGGUGUGCCCGCCAGC